AAAGGACAAAUUUUAGGAUUAAGGACUGAUGCCGAAUUCAAUUUGGGGCAAAUCUCAGACACAUGAGCCAAGCCUUGGGCAUAGACAUAUCAUAAUCGUUUCUUCAAUCACAUAUCAUUUGCCUUCAUACAGUCGUGAUUAAUGCUAAAGAGGUUGUCUGUAUCAAAGAAGAGUUGCAGCUGUGGGAUAAAGAAUUUUUAUGUUUAUAUUUUGAUAUUUGCACUUGUAAAUUUUUAGUUAGUAUAUUUAUUGUAUGAUACAUUUUAAAAUACCGUAUAAAGUACAAUACAGAAUGUAGAGGUGCCAAUUGGCACCUUAUUUUUUUUAA